GCGGAGCUGGUGUAAAGGCAGCCACGCUAGAUUUAGGAUCUAGUGCUCUAGAGCGUACGAGUUCGAAUCUCGUGCUCCGCA
rnacentral:tRNA from 1 species